rnacentral:rRNA from 1 species
CCUACGUGAGGCUGCAGUGGGGAAUAUUGCACAAUGGGGGAAACCCUGAUGCAGCGACGCCGCGUGAAGGAUGAAGUAUUUCGGUAUGUAAACUUCUAUCAGCAGGGAAGAAAAUGACGGUACCUGACUAAGAAGCCCCGGCUAACUACGUUCCAGCAGCCGCGGUAAUACGUAGGGGGCAAGCGUUAUCCGGAUUUACUGUGUGUAAAGGGAGCGUAGACGGUAUGGCAAGUCUGAUGGGAAAACCCGGGGCUCAACCCCGGGACUGCAUUGGAAACUGCCGAACUAGAGUGUCGGAGAGGCAAGUGGAAUUCCUAGUGGAGCGGUGAAAUGCGUAGAUAGUAGGAGGAACACCAGUGGCGAAGGCGGCUUGCUGGACGAUGACUGACGUUGAGGCUCGAAAGCGUGGGGAGCAAACAGGAGUAGAGACCCUGGUAGUC